UUGAGCCGUAUGAUUGGGAUAACCAUCAUGUACGGUUCUUAGGGGAGGGGAGAGUGAUGACACUCGAACCUUACCCGCU
rnacentral:ncRNA from 1 species